ensembl:snRNA U6 U6 spliceosomal RNA
AUGCUCACUUCAGCAGCACAUAUACUAAAACUGGAGCAACACAGAGAAGAUUAGCAUGGCCCCUGCGCAAGGAUAACAUGCAAAUUCCUGAAGCAAUCCAUAUUUUU